UAAAACAGCUUCCUAUUGCUAUGGGCAGCAACAAAUACAUUCAUCAUGGGUGGUUCUCUGUGCUUCUGCUAACAAGAAGUCAAAGCACUUCCUUAUACUCUCUCUUUGCUGAGAUGGAGGCACUAUGUUUGAUUCUUCUAUGCUGCUUCCUGAUACAAUGCUACGGUAGGAGAUUUUUCUUUUACUAAUGAUGUUCAAUUUAUUCUAAAUGUGGAUAUAAAAGUUCCUUGCUCAAUGACAGUACGGAAUAAUAGUAGUUUUAAAUGAUGUGCUAACAGUAUAGGGUUGCAGUACAAAUGUAACCAUGAAUCAAUAACUGUGUUCUUUUUUCUUGAAGGGUCCACUCACUUUCAUUACCUAAAGAAAGGGGAGGAGGUAACACUGUCCUGUGAAACAUGUCAAUGGGAGGCCGAUGUAAAUUCAGACAACAUAGUGGACUGCGGUGUCAUAGACAGUAUUUAUACAACAAACUCAAAAUGCAAAGCUCAAAGACAGGAUCUAUGCCAAGAGAUAAAGAAAAACAAAUCCACCAGUUGUGAAAUCUGUGUAAUGAGGGGAUUCUUUGCCUGUGUCAAUGCUGAAUCUGACUCCUGCUUCAUGCAUCCAUUUAAACCCUCUUCUCAUCAUGUGGAGUCCUUCAUUGUUGCUCAGGCAGAACCAGACAUUGUGUCUGGACCUGUAAUGGAAAACUCAGUGCUUGUGUCUGGAGGAGAAUCAAUUAAUCUGACGUGUGAUUUAAAAACAAAGGGGUAUUAUCCCAAUAAUCCUUUUGUGGUGUACUGGAUCAAGACUGGUGCUCACAGCAGCACAUGAGAUCACACACAUCAAAACCCUCCCUUGAUGAUAACAACAUCCAUAACCUGAAGAUCAGCAAAGCCACUCAGUCAGACCGUGGACAGUAUCUGUGUGUCUUACAGGUGAACACAUAUAGUUAUAACCAGCAUGCUUGGGCAGUAAUAACCAACACCACAGUCAUUGUGGGUAAUCCUGAUUCCCAUCUCAUCUAUGUGAUUGGUGCAUUAGUACCCGUUCUUCUCCUCCUCCCUGUCAUCAUCAUCAUCAUCAUCAUACUGCUUAAAAGGAAAUCAGCUGAGACCAAAGUGUCUCAGACUACAAUAACUCAAAGGUAACAUUUUAGAUUUUUGUGGUUGUUGUUGUUUAUACAUUUUAAUUGAGGUGGGUCUCUGUAAAAUAAUGACAAAAGGGCUGUUAAUCCAACAAUAACUGUAAUGACAACUGUAAGUAUAAUGAUAUGACCGUCCACACUGACCAACCAUAGGGAAAACAUCUCAGAAAUAAAAUUUCAUAUUUGAAUGUGACGCCA
rnacentral:lncRNA from 1 species